GACGAGCGCUGGCGGCGUGCCUAACACAUGCAAGUCGAGCGAGAGGAGUUCCUUCGGGAACAAAUCUAGCGGCGGACGGGUGAGUAACACGUGGGCAACCUGCCUUGUAGAGGGGAAUAGCCUUCCGAAAGGAAGAUUAAUACCGCAUAACAUUACAUUUUCGCAUGAAGAAGUAAUUAAAGGAGCAAUCCGCUACAAGAUGGGCCCGCGGCGCAUUAGCUAGUUGGUGAGGUAACGGCUCACCAAGGCGACGAUGCGUAGCCGACCUGAGAGGUGAUCGGCCACAUUGGGACUGAGACACGGCCCAGACUCCUACGGGAGGCAGCAGUGGGGAAUAUUGCACAAUGGGGGAAACCCUGAUGCAGCAAACGCCGCGUGAGUGAUGAAAGGUUUUCGGAUCGUAAAGCUCUGUCUUCAGGGACGAUAAUGACGGUACCUGAGAGGAAGCCACGGCUAACUACGUGCCAAGCCGCCGCAGU
rnacentral:rRNA from 1 species